CUAAAGAUGGACUCUUCUCAGGGCCUCGUGGCUGUGAUGCUCCUCAUCCUCACAAGGGCCCACGGAGACUCAGUAACUCAGACGCAAGGUCCAGUGGUCCUCUCAGAAGAGGACAUUCUUACUAUACACUGCAACUAUUCAGCCGCAGGGUACCCGGCUCUGUUCUGGUAUGUGCAGUAUCCCGGAGAAGGUCUACAGCUCCUCUUUAGAGCCUCAAAGGCCAACGAGAAGGGAAGCAACAGAGGUUUCGAAGCUACAUAUGAGAAAGAAACCACGUCCUUCCACUUGCAGAAAGCCUCAGUGCAAGCGUCGGACUCGGCCGUGUACUACUGUGCUCUGAGUGACACAGUGGCAGAAACCACAGAGGGAGCUGAGCACAAACUCUGA